CAGUUUUUCAAUAAUACUGUUAGCCACAGAUUCUCAUAUGAAAGUAAUAUUUACAUAAAAGAGGAAUCCCAAGGGCUACAGAGCUGAAUGAUAGAAAACAAAAACUAGACAGACAACACAGCUUACUGAAGUACACCCCAGAAGACACCAACAAAUUCAAAAAAGUACUCAUUGAGUCUGUGUAAUAAAUUUUACAAUAUGAAAAUUAUCACAUUACAAUAACAUGUUCAGGAUUUGAGGAGCCACUUGACCCAACCUACCAAAAUACCUAGCUUGGACAAUAUUAUUUUCUUCCAACCCAACCCAAUUCGAUGAAUACUCGAGCAUAUUUGUGAAUUUACUUCUCCGAAGGCCUAACCUGACCUAAUCCACCCAUUCAUAAAAUGAGGAAAGUAUUAAAAAAUACCCUAAGGUUUCUCAUUUUGACAAUUCAGCACAUGUGGUACAAUUUUUGACAAAAUGGUACGUUGAGCUAUAUUUCGUUAAAACUUCAAGGAAAAAUGUUGUAAUGCUGUUAAUUUUGCUGAUAUGGCAAUGGGAAUAAAAUAUCUUAGGUCACACAGAAUAUGAAAAUUUAAAAACAAUUUUUAAUGAA
rnacentral:misc_RNA from 1 species